ACACGUAUAUUUUUGUUAUUACGGUAGAUACAGGUUUGGUAAUGGUAAAUCUCGCAUACAGAGUUUGUCGCUUCACUGCCAAAUUCAGCAUGGCCAACUUUAAAUUCAUAGAUAUCGGUAUUAACCUCACUGACCCCAUGUUUAGGGGACUAUACAGAGGAAACCAAAAACAUCAAGAUGAUUUUGCCCAAAUUGUCGAAAGAGCUCUGAGCGUUGGGGUUCAGAAGUUUAUGAUCACUGGUGGAAAUCUGGAGGACAGCAGAGAGGCUCUGAAGCUAGCACACAGCCGAGAGGAGUUCUUCAGUACUGUAGGUUGCCACCCGACUCGCUGUGCUGAGUUUGACCAGCAGGGGGCAGAGCAGUAUUUCUCAGCACUCAGAGAGCUGGCCAUAAGUAACAGAGGGAAGGUGGUGGCUGUUGGGGAGUGUGGACUGGAUUUUGACCGUCUGGAAUUCUGUCCAAAAGAGACCCAGCUCAAGUACUUUGAGAAGCAGUUUGAUCUGGCAGAAGAAACCCAACUGCCCAUGUUCCUGCACUGCAGAAACUCGCACCACGAAUUCCUGGACAUUAUGAAAAGAAACCGUGACAGAUGUGUUGGAGGGGUGGUUCACUCCUUCGACGGGACCAAAGAGGACGCCGCUGCUCUGACGGACCUGGACCUUUAUAUCGGCAUUAACGGCUGGUGGCUCUUUGAAGACGGAGGCGAAUCUCGAGGCCAUGAAAUCGAUCCCCACGGAGAGGCUCAUGAUCGAGACAGAUGCUCCAUGGUGUGGCAUCAAAAACACUCAUGCAGGAUCCAAGUUCAUUAAAACAACGUUCCCCACCAAGAAGAAGUGGGAGGCAGGACACUGUCUGAAGGAUAGGAAUGAACCCUGUCACAUCAUCCAGGUGCUGGAGGUGAUGGCAGCAGUGAGGAACGAGGAUCCGGUAGAGAUGGCCAACACUAUCUACAACAACACGCUGAAAGUGUUCUUCACUGGGAGCUGAUACCACAUCACCUCACCGUGUGCCUUAAGGAGUCUGAAUGAUGAAACGGUGGACCUUUUGAGAACUAAGUUUGUUUACUCAGCGGAUCUUCUGAUCCGCCGAAGCCCGGGGUUCUCUUACUUACUGUACGAGUUCACUUGCAGCGGCGAUCCCAGGACUGAACCUUUCACACAAUGCUGAAAUAUAUUUGAAUAAAUACAUGCUAAUAAAUACAAGUAAUGACAUUGUCAUUAUGAGAAUUUA